UGAUUGGAAGAUUCCAGUCCAGGUAUUGAUCUAUCCUCUUAUAAGUUCAACCAGAGUCUUCUAUCACAAAUUGCCUGUUGUACUUCAUAUCCUGCAUUUCGUUUUUUUGCUAGCAGUGAUUGAAUGUCUUAUCUUAUUUCUCGUGCUUUCUGUCCCUUUCAUAAUUGGCAAGUGUCUCGUCUAGGACAUCUGAUUGUGAACAAAUCAUCUAGACUUUGACAAAUUUUAUUUCCAGUAACUUCCACAUUUUCAAUUUUCGACUCAUUUCCAGCUUGUGUCCAGCCUCCACCCCUUCAUCUCAUUCUUUUUUGGAUAAAUUUCCAAAGAAUUUCCAGAAUCAUGCAGUCAUUAUUGGUAGGAAUUCAUUAUUGGUUCACUUUUGAGUUCCCACAUUCAUUUGAUGGUAUAAUAAUUGGUGAUACUAUCAAGUCCAUCAUCUUAAUGCAGUAGGCAGGUGGUGAGGAUGACAAUAGUCUGGGAAUAGGAUUAACUCUUUUUUAUAUGUAUUCAUUUUAGAUUAAGCAUAUAAUACAUAUAUGCAAUUGUAAUCAAUCACGCAGACUGAUAAAGUACUGAAGAAGUUCCAUAAUGUAGGUGAAGGGGUUUGUCACUAAAA
rnacentral:misc_RNA from 1 species